rnacentral:hammerhead_ribozyme from 1 species
NNCCAGCUGACGAGUCCCAAACAGGACGAAACACGCGUCCUGGAU